rnacentral:rRNA from 1 species
GUUGAACGCUGGCGGCGUGCCUAAUACAUGCAAGUCGAGCGAACGAACGAGAAGCUUUCUUCUCUGAUGUUAGCGGCGGAUGGGUGAGUAAUAGGUGUCUACCCUAUCUAUAAGACUGGGAUAACUUCGGGAAACCUGAUCUAACAUCCGUCCAUAUUUUGAACCGCAUGGUUCUUCAGAGCACGCCCUUCUUGAUGACCCUUAUAGAUGUUUCCACGUUGCAUUAGCUAGUUGGUAGGGUAACGGCUUACCAAGGCAACGAUGCGUAGCUGAUCUGAGAGGAUGAUCAGCCACACUGGAACUGAGACACGGUCCAGACUCCUACGGGAGGCAGCAGUGGGGAAUAUUGGACAAUGGGCGAAAGCCUGAUGCAGCCACGCCGCGUGAGUGAUGAAGGUCUUCGGAUCGUAAAGCACUGUAAGUAGGGAAGAAGGGAAGUAAGAGAAACCCUGCACGUCUUGACGGUACCAAAACAGAAAGCCACGGCUAACUACGUG